CGCGUAGGUGGUUUGUUAAGUUGGAUGUGAAAGCCCCGGGCUCAACCUGGGAACUGCAUCCAAAACUGGCAAGCUAGAGUACGGUAGAGGGUGGUGGAAUUUCCUGUGUAGCGGUGAAAUGCGUAGAUAUAGGAAGGAACACCAGUGGCGAAGGCGACCACCUGGACUGAUACUGACACUGAGGUGCGAAAGCGUGGGGAGCAAAACA
rnacentral:rRNA from 1 species